GCGGGACACCUCCUCCUCCUAGACAUUCCCCAAGGACCGGGCGAGAGCGCGGCUGACUGCGACUUUAAUGUCUAGACUGGCCUAGACGUCCUAGUUGAGUCUCAGUCCUGGGGAGGGUCAGGCGGGUGGGCGCUGAGUGAGGGACACAGUGUUGUGUAGGACAGGGGUGUGGGCAGAUAGAGGCUAAAUGCUUGGGACGGUCAGCGAGAACCGCGUAUCCGCUCCGCCGAGGCGGGGCACGAACCAGAAAGCGACAACAGACUCUAACCAGGGGGGACCACGGGAAAGAUGGGCAAGGAAGCAGAGGACACGACACUCUUACUUUUGGGGCAGGGCCAGGAAAGGCCACCAAGACCGGCUACCGUGACACAACUCUUUAUCUGAUUCAGUGGGUGGCUCUGAAAAGAGCCUUUUUGGGAGCUCGCGGGGGUUAUAUCACAGAGACGCGGGCCGGCGCGAGCAGUGGCCUCACUUGCCCUUCGCCUUAUGGUGGCUCUCCGUCUUCUUGGGCAGCAGCACGGUGUUGAGCUCCUCGUCGUUGCGGAUGGCCAGCUGCAGGUGGCGCGGGAUGAUGCGCGUCUUCUUGUUGUCGCGAGCCGCGUUGCCCGCCAGCUCCAGGAUCUCGGCCGUUAGGUACUCCAGCACCGCCGCCAUAUACACCGGCGCGCCGGCGCCCACACGCUCCGCGUAGUUGCCCUUGCGCAGCAGCCGGUGCACACGCCCCACCGGGAACUGUAGCCCGGCCCGGGAAGACCGCGACUUGGCCUUGGCGCGGGCCUUGCCUCCUUGCUUGCCACGACCGGACAUCACGAAAGCGCAAGCAGACGAACGGCCACAACCAGGAAACGGUACUCCGGCGCCGACGCCUCACCCUUUUAUAGACGCAGACCCGAUUGUCCGCACGACGCUCUCAUUGGCUCACACGCGUCCUGACGCCGUGGCCAAUAGGAGCGCGCGGACAGAAGCCUCUCAUUUACAUAAGACCGGCUCCCUCGCCCCGGCGCCGCCCUGGAACGCGCGAGUGUGCCCUGCAUCCAAGAGGGCCUGAGUCAAUCACUUAUUUAAGUGUAGGUUUUCCUUCGAGGAAUACUGGAAAUUUAGUUUUUUAUACCUAAGGAGUAGCGGAUAAUUCUGAUAGCCUCUUUAUUUUUCUACUUUAAACAGUGUAAAACCCUACUUGUUUCAUUUUAAGCGUUUAUCGCUGGGAGCCUCACUUUAAAAUUGUUAAAUUUAAAGGUUAUUUUCUUAAUCCAUACACAUCUGGGAGUGCUUGAAAAGACCAAGUACAGUUCGCCCGGAGUUUACUGAAAUUAUUGGUUUUUUGCCACUCAGAUUUGUACAUAAGGAAUCGAAAUAACUUAAAAAGUAAACCUUACGCUGUUGCUUUUGUCUAUCAUUUGUCCUGAUGGCUCUCAGAAGCUCCUUUUAGGAGCCUUCCAGGGUGUCUGGGGCUAGAGUGACUCGGAGUGCCAUAUCCGGACUGCCAUUAUUUAGCAUCGCAUCAGUUAUACUCGGUAAAAUACAGCCAGCAUUUUUCAAUCUCUGAAAUUUGUAAUAAGCUUUGUUAUCGACGCAUUAGAAUCACUGAUUAGGCAUAUUGAGUGGAAGCUUAGCUCUAGUAACAGGUAUAUUGUUACAUAGUAACAUAGUUACAAUCUUUAUAUUUUACAUUGUAACAUAUUUUGGAGAUGGAAUUCUAGUCUUGUGGAGGAAUCGGCAAGAGUGUACCACUAGGAUUUUGGGUUGAAACUAGGUAGGCAGUGGAUUUUUUUGGAUUUUGGUGGGUUUUUUUGUUGUUGUUUUUUUUUGUUUGUUUGUUUUUUGAGACAGGGUUUCUCUGUAUAGCCCUGGCUAUCCUGGAACUCACUCUGUAGACCAGGCUGGCCUCGAACUAAGAAAUCCGCUUGCCUCUGCCCCAGUACUGGGAUUAAAGGUGUGUGCCACCACCGCCAGGCUUAGGUAGGCAGUGUUAUUAGGAUGGCUAGCUGAAAAGCAUUUUAAGUUGAGAAGUUGAAGGUUUAUCAAGCAUUCUGAUUAAAUUUGAUAUUGUUAUUUAUGUGCAUAUGUGGACUCACAAAUUUGAGAGGUGGAUCAAGGGUUCAGCAAAGACUACACAACCCUGCAUUUAUGGACUGACUGCAGAUCAUGAGAAUGACGUCCUAUGACAUUAGAAUAUACUUUUGAUCCUUAAGUAUUUGUCUUGAAAUAUAAUUUGGUACGUGUUAUUCCUGAUAUGUGUUAUUCCUAUAAAGAAUGUUAU
ensembl:antisense Gm20632 predicted gene 20632